AUCAAAAGGUUGCAUUUCUUUCUCAGUCUUUUGACUCCAGGCUGGUCUUGUGACUUUUGGUAGCCAAAGAAGGAACAGCCUGUCACCUGUAAGUUCAAGCCUCAAGAGGCUUUGUCCUCUUUUGCUUCCCCUGUUGGACUUCUGCUGUUUCCCUAAGAACAAGACUGGAGAAACUCCCUGGGAGAAGGAUGUUUGCAGAUAAUAGAUCUUCUCAGUGAAGGAGAUGAAUUCCGAAUUUGGUGAUUAAAGAUCAAGAGUAACACUUUUCUUCCUUUGAAGUUGUGGCAGCAAUCAACAUUCAGAUCCUGAGUUUUAAUGAUUGCCCACCCAUUCACCAAACUACACAUCUGACACAGCUGGUCCAUCCACUUAGGGAGAUUCCUGUGCAGUGUUACAAUCAAGACAUUUUCUGAAUGGCCUGGUUUUAAACCUUAGCUGUGCUACUGCUUAGUGAUAUGAGCUCGAGUACAUUCAUCUCUGCAGGAUGAAGAUGAUAACACUACCGCAUGGUAACAGUGAAGACAAAGAAAUGGAGACCCAGAGGUCAGGAAAUAUGGCAAAGAGGCAGAGCAGAGGAGCUGGGUGAGUCAAGCCUGCUACCUCUGAACACCGCUCAUGGCUUACAACCCCGCAAGAAAGCAUCAGUGCUGCUCUGGGAUUGGGGAUUCUUUCCUCCGUAACGUGGUCUUUCCUGUUGGUGUCUUACAGUGCUUCUUUCAAUCCCGCAGGAAGAAAUUAGAUCUUUUUCAUGCAUUUAUUCAUGUAUCAUUGAAAGCUUGUUACACACAAGGAAUCACCUCACUUCUAGGGUACAGCAAUCAACAAAACUGAUGUGAUCUCAACCCUCAUGGAGUUUACCUUCUAUUGGAGGAGGAGGAGGACAAUAAACAAGGCUAUAAAUAUGCAAUACCAUUCCAGGAAGUUAUAAAUGCAGUGAAGAGAAGUAACACAGAAGAUAGAGAAU